UCUAAUUUUGUUGGACACCCUGCAAUAUAAACACACCCUCAAGAAUGGUUAAUAAACACGGAUUGAAGGCAUUCCAUGCAGACAACAAUGGCUUCUUAUCUUAGCUUCGUUACAUCUUGUACCCAUAACAUGCGUGUAAUGCACAAACGGUCAAGAAUCUUGAACAGGUCGGGUCAUUUUCCUACGUCAUCUUUAAUAUGAACCGGUCUAGGUCCCGGAUUUGUCGAGUUCUCGAGGCUGGUCCAGGUCUAAUAGCUAUGGUGAAGAGUGUGACAGUUGCAUUGGUGGUAUCCGAGAUUACAAGCAAUGAUCUUUUCUGAGAAAACAAAAGCAGUUUUGAGGAGUAAUCAGCUUGGCAAAUAUACCAAAUCGAAUUUUCUUUUGGAUUCUGGGGAAUCCAAAUUGUGCGGACAAAACCACCACAUGAUACUAAUAUCAAUUCAAUUACAAUAUAUUCUGACAUUAACAUUAAAGGUAACGACAUGUGGAGAAAACCCAACUAUCUGUUUGGUCCCCUAGUUGAAAAGGAAAUGGAUGUACUCUAGUGUGUUGUUAGAAGAUAAGAAGAAGAGGAAACCUGGAGACAGGACGGUCACAGGAAACGGGACUAGACCUUAGCUAAGCAAACUAGCUACUGAAACGUGUGGAGGUGGUUCCAAGCUCACGCUUCCCAAAUCUCCACGCUCAUAGCAACAAAAAGCACGGAUAUUAUGGCAUGCAUACUUGUGGUCAUAUGAGACCAAAAUUGACAUCAGGGCUUACGCUGCAUGUAACAUACCCUUAUGAACUGGUAAUCAAUAAAUGACUACAGCAAUGUGCAUUGGCACUUGCCUCUAAUUUGGACUUAAAUCUCUUUGCUAGAUAUCAUGCACUGAUUUUGGAAUUGUAGCUUCAGACAACGUCUUCACUUACACCUGGAUACUACUGACUGGUCUUUGUUCCUUGGCAUACGUACAUGCAGAGGGUUUUGUAGCAUACUGUAUCCAUACACUAUUGAACAGGAUCAGGGUAGAUUCCUGAAGUUUUCGAAGAAGUGUCACUAUGCGGCUCCUUGAUCUACUUUAUAUUGCUUCUGUGCCAAUUUUGAAAGUACUAAUUCUAACAGCACUUGGAUCACUUCUUGCAUUGGACAAUAUACAUGUCUUGGGAGAGAGUACGAGGAAAGAACUAAAUCGAGUAGUGUUUUUGGUGUUUAGUCCAGCACUGGUGGUUAGCAGCCUGGCUAAAACAAUCACCUAUGAAAACAUUGUUACGUUGUGGUUCAUGCCAGUCAAUAUUCUUUGUGCAUUCAUUGUUGGCUCAGCACUAGGAUGGAUACUCAUAAAAAUCACAAGACCUGCCAAACAACUUAAAGGCCUCAUAUUGGGUUGCUGUGCUGCAGGAAACAAUGGAAGUUUGCUUUUCAUCAUCAUCCCAGCAGUCUGUAGUGAGAAAGGCAGUCCAUUUGGAUCACCUGAUGUUUGCUCUACAUACGGAAUGGCUUAUGUUUCUCUUUCCUUGGCAGUAAGCGCCAUUUAUAUGUGGUCUUAUGUUUAUAACGUUGUGAGGGUUUCCUCAAGGGAUGUCAACAAAGAAGCUGAUAGUGAUGGCCAUGGUGGCUCCACAAGUACUGUGAAGGAUGCCGGAGAAACACCAGAACUCAUCCAAGGGAAUUACUCGGAAGCUUUUCUUCCUUCCAAAGAGUUUCCAGUUUCCGAUGAAUAUGAGUUACUUCUUCCUUGCACAAAUUCUGAGGGAAUUGUUAAGGUACACUUAUCUGACAAGAUUAAGCAAUGCUUCAGGAUGAUAUCAAGAAAGCUAAAUCUGAAGGCAGUCUUUGCACCUUCAACUACCGCAGCGAUUGCUGGCUUUAUAAUUGGAGUGAUUCCUCAAAUUCGGAAUUCCUUAAUCGGUGCUAGUGCCCCUCUUCAUGUAGUUGAAGAUUCUGCUUCUCUGAUAGGGGAUGCAGCCAUCCCAACAGUCACUUUAAUUGUCGGAGGAAACCUUCUUAGAGGUUUAAGAGGAUCAGGAAUUCAGUCGUCACUCAUAGUUGGAAUAGUAGCAGUUAGGUUUGUUUUCCUUCCUCUCAUAGGCACUGCCAUUGUUAAAGGUGCAGUCCACUUUGGUCUGGUCCAUUCUGAUCCAUUAUAUCAGUUUGUCCUUCUGCUACAAUUUGCAGUUCCACCAGCAUUGAACAUAGGCACAAUUACUCAGUUAUUUGGAGCUGGAGAAAGUGAAUGCUCUGUGAUAAUGUUAUGGACAUAUGCGUUGGCAUCAAUUUUUCUAACUCUGUGGUCAACCCUUUUCAUGUGGCUAGUAGCUUGAUUACUAUUCUUAUUUUAUAGAUAGACUUCAAAAUUUGUUGGAAAAUUCUUCCAUUUUGGAGAGUAGUUAUUGUUAAAAGUAAGAGUUUGGCUUAAAAUCGAGUAGUGUAUACCAUGGUGUUCAAACUCAAAUCCACAAAGACUAUUGCCCCUCUUCAUUAACAAUGAAUCAAUGAUGGUUUCAGUCGUUGUUGGUUUCAUCAAUGGCCUGUUACGGUGAUUUUGUGUUGGAGAGAGGGUGGUAGUUCAGUGUUGGUGAGGCUGUGAGGGUGAGGGUGGAGGCUCAUAUAGUAUUCAAUUAUAUGGUGAAGCUGAUAUUAUUGUCAAGUUGAUGUUAAUGAGAAGGGAAAUUUGUUGGGUUUAUUUUCGCCCUUUAAUUUUUUGCAAUUGCAGUAUUUAAUUUAAUUUAAUUAUUUUCUUAAAACAAUUUAAUUUAUGAUGAAAUUAAUUUUAACUAGUAAGUGGUUUUAAGCAGCAAGACAUCAAGGGAACUCCAUCUGAAGGAAGUGUUUGCACCUUCAACUAUCGGAGCAAAAUCCCCUAAUCCUUAUCCCAACAUAGCCACUUCUUUCAUGGUGUAUUUCUUGCUUCUUGUUUGAUAUCUGAACUACCUUUCAGAGAUAUCUUUCUUGCGUAGAUAACUGGUUUUAUCAUCGGAGUGAUCACUCAGAUUCGGAAUCUCAUGUUCGGCGCCAGUGCUCCUAUUCAUUAGUUGAAGACUCUGCAUCUUUUCUUGGGGAUGCAACUGUCGCAACGGUGAUUUUGAUAAUGGGAGGGAACCUGCAGAGAGGUAACUCCUAGUUGUCUUUAUGCCUCCCGUGAAGUGGUCAAAAUCUUGCUUCUCUUCCUAGUAUUGGUUACCAAGGAAUUGUCAUUGUUAAGCGUGCCGUCCUGUUUGGUCCGGUACAUUCAGAUCCAUUAUAUCAGUUUAUGCUUCUGCUACAAUUUACACUACCACCAGCAAUGAACAUAGGUAUAUAUAUGAGUAAUUUGAGGACAUCAGGCAUUGUUCUGAAAUUCUUUCAAUUUGAAUAGGGUUUAUUUAUUGUUGCAAGGAAAGGCCUGCAGGGUGUCAGCUAAUCCUGACUGUUCCAGAAACUACUGUGUUUUAUCCUUUCUUUUAUUGCUUGUUCUCUAUAAAUUCAUCACGUGGACAACAAGGGCAAGACUGCAUCAUCAAACAAUUUAACUUCAGAUUGUGUAUGUUGGAAGCGAUCCAAGAGGCAAGUGAAGUGACAUUCAUCUGACGAACGACAAGAAGAACCAAAGCGUUACCGCAACUGUGGUCAAGGAAUUGGUCCAUAGCAUGAUCACCGAGCAUUCGGUUUCACCAGCUCCAAACAAGUUAUUGUACUUGCCAAGUCAAGGCCAAAAGACAAGUGAAAUUACUUUAUGUUAGAAACAAAUUCAACCUGUUUCCAGAUGAGGACAUGAUUGAACUUCGCAUGAAUCUUAAAAACAAGGUAUAGCUAAAAUUUGACAGGCCUAUGUUGAUUGCUGGAGGCAGUGCAAAUUGAAGCAGAAGAACGAACUUGUACAACGAUUCUGAGUCCACAAAGCCAAAAUGAACAGCAUAUUUGAUUGUAAGGACUCCCAAUAUCGGUAUAAAAAUAUACCGGACUGCUGUUAUACCAAUAAUCACUGAGACCGGCACCUUCGACCCGUUGAAACCUGAGAACACAUUCUGGUCAUCAUUUUGGUUGUUCAGGAAUCUUCAUAUAUAUAUAUAUAUAUAUAUCAUCAAAGAGGGAUGCUGACCCGAGCAAGUAUACAGAGUCCUCAAUCACAUGAAGAGGAGCAUUAUGAUCACCAAUCAGUGCUUUUCGGAAAGGAGGGAUAACACCGAUUAUAAAUCCAACAAUCUAUGAAAGCAAAGCAGUAAGGGGGGUCAAUCCUCGUAUCGCCUCAAUACUGAAACAUAAAGUGGCUUGUUUAGUCUAUACUUUGUCUGAUAUUUUAACGUGACCAAGAAAUCGGAGAGGGAAGAAGUCCGGUUUAAAACUGCAUGCUGCUUGCUAAUGGCUGCUUCAUGGAAAUGUCUCCAUAAAAAGGUCUUUAAAUUAUGAUAGAGUUCAAAAAUCAACAAGGCAUGUGCAAAGAGAAGGCUUGAUCUGAAUACUGCUAUAAAAAAAAUGAAGCAUGGAUUUAUAUCCUACUUAACCA